GACGAACGCUGGCGGCGUGCUUAACACAUGCAAGUCGAACGGAAAGGCCCUGCUUUUGUGGGGUGCUCGAGUGGCGAACGGGUGAGUAACACGUGAGUAACCUGCCCUUGACUUUGGGAUAACUUCAGGAAACUGGGGCUAAUACCGGAUAGGAGCUCCUGCUGCUUGGUGGGGGUUGGAAAGUUUCGGCGGUUGGGGAUGGACUCGCGGCUUAUCAGCUUGUUGGUGGGGUAGUGGCUUACCAAGGCUUUGACGGGUAGCCGGCCUGAGAGGGUGACCGGCCACAUUGGGACUGAGAUGCGGCCCAGACUCCUACGGGAGGCAGCAGUGGGGAAUAUUGCACAAUGGGCGGAAGCCUGAUGCGGCAACGCCGCGUGCGGGAUGACGGCCUUCGGGUUGUAAUCCGCUUUCGCCUGUGACGAAGCGUGAGUGACGGUAAUGGGUAAAGAAGCACCGGCUAACUACGUG
rnacentral:rRNA from 1 species